rnacentral:rRNA from 1 species
GCCCAGACUCCUACGGGAGGCAGCAGUGGGGAAUAUUGCACAAUGGGGGAAACCCUGAUGCAGCGACGCCGCGUGAGUGAGGAAGUAUUUCGGUAUGUAAAGCUCUCUCAGCAGGGAAGAAAAUGACGGUACCUGAAGAAGAAGCCCCGGCUAACUCCGUGCCAGCAGCCGCGGUAAUACGGAGGAUGCGAGCGUUAUCCGGAUUUAUUGGGUUUAAAGGGUGCGUAGGCGGACUGGAAAGUCAGCGGUAAAAUCGAGAGGCUCAACCUCUUUCCGCCGUUGAAACUGUCGGUCUUGAGUGGGCGAGAAGUAUGCGGAAUGCGUGGUGUAGCGGUGAAAUGCAUAGAUAUCACGCAGAACUCCGAUUGCGAAGGCAGCAUACCGGCGCUCAACUGACGCUCAUGCACGAAAGCGUGGGUAUCGAACAGGAUUAGAUACCCCAGUA